ACCCGCGGGGUGCGGCCCGGCCCAGGCGUGGGCGCUAUUGGGAUGCGCCAGCCCGGGAAGCACUCAGUCAGCUCCAGGCAGCUUCACAGGCGAACGCUUCAGCCGGGCGUCCUUCGUUCAGAUGUCGCCGAUGGAGUGCCCAGUGUCCCAAGACAACUGAUUAAAACAUAAUAGUGCAACAGUAACUGCUGUGAACAAACAAGAGCAAACUGUGAGGAUGACUGCAGAAGAAACGUCGUCAUUGUGAGGAGAGAAAAGCACAAUGAUGGCCUUGGACUGCCUGGGUAGUUCACAUGAGUGCAUGGCUUAUCAGAAAACGAAGUAAAAGUGAGGAAGCCUUGAGUUAAGUUCCAAACCUAAGAGGAAGCGACUGGCCAAAGAAUCAACAGAUUGAUAAAGGAUCCCACAGUAUUUCAAACCAUGAAUUAAGAUGAACCAGGCCAUGGAAGGGGAAAUGAAGAGAAAGGAAACACCACGGGCCUAUGUUGCAGAGGUAUGGGGCUGCUUACCAUAACCGGAAGAACCUGAAUUAGUGACAGCUGAAGAAAAGCACACCAUGAGCGACAGAGCUAGACAAAUAGGAUGAAGAGUAUGGACUUUAAAGGAUAAGAGAAAAAAAAUAAAUUAAAAAAAGGUAGUUUCAGAAAUGCCAUUCCCAUAGCCAAGACCAAGCUACUUAAUUUGCAGCGCCCAAGCAAAAU